rnacentral:rRNA from 1 species
GAUGAACGCUUGCGGCGUGCCUAAUACAUGCCAGUCGAGCGAACAGACGAGGAGCUUUCUCCUCUGACGUUAGCGGCGGACGGGUGAGUAAAACGUGGAUAACCCUCCUAUAAGACUUGGAUAACUUCGGGAAACCGGAGCUAAUACCGGAUAAUAUAUUGAACCGCAUGGUUCAAUAGUGAAAGACGGUUUUGCUGUCACUUAUAUAUGGAUCCGCGCCGCAUUAGCUAGUUGGCAAGGUAACGGCUUACCAAGGCAACGAUGCGUAGCCGACCUGAGAGGGUGAUCGGCCACACUGGAACUGAGACACGGUCCAGACUCCUACGGGAGGCAGCAGUAGGGAAUCUUCCGCAAUGGGCGAAAGCCUGACGGAGCAACGCCGCGUGAGUGAUGAAGGUCUUCGGAUCGUAAAACUCUGUUAUUAGGGAAGAACAAAUGUGUAAGUAACUAUGCACGUCUUGACGGUACCUAAUCAGAAAGCCACGGCUAACUACGUG